AAAGCGCCAUGUUUAAUUUGGCACUAUGACCCAUCAAACAUCAAUUCUUUCCCCAGUGAAAGCGCCUGGAUUAAAAUAGCAGCUACGCCACCAAAAGGCUCGGUUACCUAAAAAGAUCGUACGUAGGGUAAUUAUAGCGACAGCUUUGGCUAACGUUCCUUGUUGGAAGAUCCUGAUUUAGAGACAUCUUUACUUCAUCGGUUUUGCUCUCUGAAGGUGCCCCUUUCUGAAGUUUCUUUUAUUUAAAGGAGAAUGGAGAAUCUAUGGAUCGCUUCGACUAAACGCGUCAAACUUGUGGAAAUUCCACUUUAAGCCUUCCAAAUAGCAAGGGAUUUUAUAAAAAGACUAUCAGAGACUUUAGAAGAAAACCGCUGCUACUGAGAAUGUAGUCGGCUAGAGGAGAUGCAGACAUGUUGCAUAGAUUUCGUCUAAAAAUAGAGAAAGAAUGUUCAAUACG